rnacentral:rRNA from 1 species
GCCUUAGUAACGGCGAGUGAAGCGGCAAAAGCUCAAAUUUGAAAUCUGGCACCUUCGGUGUCCGAGUUGUAAUUUGAAGAAGGUAACCUUGGGGUUGGCUCUUGUCUAUGUUUCUUGGAACAGAACGUCACAGAGGGUGAGAAUCCCGUGCGAUGAGAUGCCCAAUUCUAUGUAAGGUGCUUUCGAAGAGUCGAGUUGUUUGGGAAUGCAGCUCUAAGUGGGUGGUAAAUUCCAUCUAAAGCUAAAUAUUGGCGAGAGACCGAUAGCGAACAAGUACAGUGAUGGAAAGAUGAAAAGAACUUUGAAAAGAGAGUGAAAAAGUACGUGAAAUUGUUGAAAGGGAAGGGUAUGAGAUCAGACUUGGUGUUUUGCAACCUCACUCUCGGGUGGGGCCCCUGCAGUUCAUCGGGCCAGCAUCAGUUUGGAUGGUAGGAUAAUGACAUUGGAAUGUGGCUUGACUUCGGUUAAGUGUUAUAGCCCUUGUUGAUACUACCUGUCUAGACUGAGGACUGCGUCUUUGACUAGGAUGCUGGCAUAAUGAUCCUAUACCGCCCGUCUUGAAACACGGACCAAGGAGUCUAACGUCUAUGCAAGUGUUUGGGUGUAAAACCCGUACGCGUAAUGAAAGUGAACGUAGGUCUGAGCUCUUUGAGUGCAAGAUCGACCGAUCCUGAUGUCUUCGGAUGGAUUUGAGUAAGAGCAUAGCUGUUGGGACCCGAAAGAUGGUGAACUAUACCUGAAUAGGGUGAAGCCAGAGGAAACUCUGGUGGAGGCUCGUAGCGGUUCUGACGUGCAAAUCGAUCGUCGAAUUUGGGUAUAGGGGCGAAAGAC